GAUGAACGCUGGCGGCGUGCCUAAUACAUGCAAGUCGAGCGAACGGACGAGAAGCUUGCUUCUCUGAUGUUAGCGGCGGACGGGUGAGUAACACGUGGAUAACCUACCUAUAAGACUGGGAUAACUUCGGGAAACCGGAGCUAAUACCGGAUAAUAUUUUGAACCGCAUGGUUCAAAAGUGAAAGACGGUCUUGCUGUCACUUAUAGAUGGAUCCGCGCUGCAUUAGCUAGUUGGUAAGGUAACGGCUUACCAAGGCAACGAUGCAUAGCCGACCUGAGAGGCUGAUCGGCCACGCUGGAACUGAGACACGGUCCAGACUCCUACGGGAGGCAGCAGUAGGGAAUCUUCCGCAAUGGGCGAAAGCCUGACGGAGCAACGCCGCGUGAGUGAUGAAGGUCUUCGGAUCGUAAAACUCUGUUAUUAGGGAAGAACAUAUGUGUAAGUAACUGUGCACAUCUUGACGGUACCUAAUCAGAAAGCCACGGCUAACUACGUG
rnacentral:rRNA from 1 species